GGGCUCAUAGCUCAUCCGGUAAGAGCUCUCGCCUCGUAAGCGAGGGGAGGGGGUUCGAGUCCCCCGGGGCCCACCA
rnacentral:tRNA from 2 species